GACGAACGCUGGCGGCGUGCCUAAUACAUGCAAGUCGAACGAGAGCGACCGGUGCUUGCACUGGUCAAUCUAGUGGCGAACGGGUGAGUAACACGUGGGUAACCUGCCCAUCAGAGGGGGAUAACAUUCGGAAACGGAUGCUAAAACCGUAUAGGUCUUCGAACCGCAUGGUUUGAAGAGGAAAAGAGGCGCAAGCUUCUGCUGAUGGAUGGCCCCGCGGUGCAUUAGCUAGUUGGUGAGGUAACGGCUCACCAAGGCCGUGAUGCAUAGCCGACCUGAGAGGGUGAUCGGCCACAUUGGGACUGAGACACGGCCCAAACUCCUACGGGAGGCAGCAGUAGGGAAUCUUCCGCAAUGGACGCAAGUCUGGCGGAGCAACGCCGCGUGAGUGAAGAAGGCUUUCGGAUCGUAAAACUCUGUUGUUAGAGAAGAAUAAGUGCUAGAGUAACUGUUAGCGCCUUGACGGUAUCUAACCAGAAAGCCACGGCUAACUACGUG
rnacentral:rRNA from 1 species